rnacentral:rRNA from 1 species
AAGAGUACGUGAAACCGUUCAGAGGCAAACGGAUGGGACCGCAAGCUCCCUCGUGGAAUUCAACUUCCAGGCCGUUCGUCUCGUCGCCUCUCGGAUCGCAAGACCGGGGACGGCGGGAGCGGGCGUCUGGGGGCGCAUUUUUUGCGAGGGGAGGUCGCGACCGGUUUGGUGCCAGCCUGAAGCCCGGCGGGAAGGUAGCUGUGUCUCGGCGCAGCCUUUAGCCCGCCGGCGUGUUGGCCUGGUGCUGGACCGAGGGACGCCCGCCGCUGCGGGGGCCCCCGCUCCGUCCGCCCGUUCCGACUGGGAGGGACUGUUCUCAGUGCCUUCCGACUGCGGGUGGAUGCGGGACCGGGGACAACCCCUGCCGCUUCUCAGGGUCUGCGGCUGUUCGGUCGGCUCCCUAUCCGACCCGUCUUGAAACACGGACCAAGGAGUCUAACAUGUGCGCGAGUCAUUGGACUCGACGAAAUCUAAAGGCGCAAUGAAGGUGAAGGCCCUCCUCUCGGUGGGCCUAGGUCGGAUCCCCCGCAAGGGGGCGCAAGACUGGCCCGUCUCGAAGGCAUUGUCCUUGAGGCGGAGCAAGAGCGUACACGUUGGGACCCGAAAGAUGGUGAACUAUGCCUGAGUAGGACGAAGCCAGAGGAAACUCUGGUGGAGGUCCGUAGCGAUUCUGACGUGCAAAUCGAUCGUCAAACCUGGGUAUAGGGGCGAAAGACUAAUCGACCAUCUAGUAGCUGGUUCCCU